rnacentral:rRNA from 1 species
AUUGAACGCUGGCGGCAGGCCUAACACAUGCAAGUCGAACGGUAACAGGAAGCAGCUUGCUGCUUUGCUGACGAGUGGCGGACGGGUGAGUAAUGUCUGGGAAACUGCCUGAUGGAGGGGGAUAACUACUGGAAACGGUAGCUAAUACCGCAUAACGUCGCAAGCCCAAAGAGGGGGACCUUCGGGCCUCUUGCCAUCGGCUGUGCCCAGAUGGGAUUAGCUAGUAGGUGGGGUAACGGCUCACCUAGGCGACGAUCCCUAGCUGGUCUGAGAGGAUGACCAGCCACACUGGAACUGAGACACGGUCCAGACUCCUACGGGAGGCAGCAGUGGGGAAUAUUGCACAAUGGGCGCAAGCCUGAUGCAGCCAUGCCGCGUGUAUGAAGAAGGCCUUCGGGUUGUAAAGUACUGUCAGCGGGGAGGAAGGGAGGAAAGUUAAUACCUGGGCUCAUUGACGGUACCCGCAGAAGAAGCACCGGCUAACUCCGUG